CGAGUCGGGACCUCCUUGUCGAGGUCCCAUCCACUCUAUCCUAUCCUGUGUUGUUGACCCGGGUUUGCGUUGGAUGCGACCGGCCUCGUUGUCGUGUUCAUCCGCGCGGCCCACUUUUUCAAUUCUACCCAAUGUUGACCAAACUUUGACUGAUUGUUGUUUUGUAAUUGUUAAAA
rnacentral:misc_RNA from 1 species